rnacentral:misc_RNA from 1 species
AAAUCGCGAUAUGUAGUGUGAUCUGCCUAUAGUGAAUCAUCAAAUUUUUGAACGCAUCUUGCACCCUUGGGUAUUCCUGAGGGUACGCCUGUUUCAGUAUCAUUUUAUCUUCUCUCCAUUCAUUUUGGUGGGAAAAAAUAACUAACUGGCCCUGAGUAAUAAAAUAUCAUGUUGCUUCACGGCUUAAAUAUAUAUGGUCCUCUUUUGACCGACUUGUUACCUUUUGGUAGAUUUUUCUUCUGCUUCAAAAAAAACUUGCGGUGAUCCCUGGAUCCAACCCCAUUAUUCAUUUAUUUGAUCUGAAAUCAGGCGGGAUUACCCGCUGAACUUAA